rnacentral:rRNA from 1 species
ACGGGGUGCAGCAGGCGCGAAACCUCCACAAUGUACGAGAGUGCGAUGGGGGGAUCCCAAGUGCUAUUCUUAACGGGAUAGCUUUUCUUAAGUGUAAAAAGCUUUUGGAAUAAGAGCUGGGCAAGACCGGUGCCAGCCGCCGCGGUAAUUU